GCGAAGUGACGAUAGAAAUUCAUGUCUGUCAAUCCCCUGACUUACUGCUUGAUGUUAACCUGAAUUGGCUGUGGUUCUGAUCGC